rnacentral:rRNA from 1 species
AUGAACGCUGGCGGCGUGCCUAAUACAUGCAAGUCGAGCGAACGGACGAGAAGCUUGCUUCUCUGAUGUUAGCGGCGGACGGGUGAGUAACACGUGGAUAACCUACCUAUAAGACUGGGAUAACUUCGGGAAACCGGAGCUAAUACCGGAUAAUAUUUUGAACCGCAUGGUUCCAAAGUGAAAGACGGUCUUGCUGUCACUUAUAGAUGGAUCCGCGCUGCAUUAGCUAGUUGGUAAGGUAACGGCUUACCAAGGCAACGAUGCAUAGCCGACCUGAGAGGGUGAUCGGCCACACUGGAACUGAGACACGGUCCAGACUCCUACGGGAGGCAGCAGUAGGGAAUCUUCCGCAAUGGGCGAAAGCCUGACGGAGCAACGCCGCGUGAGUGAUGAAGGUCUUCGGAUCGUAAAACUCUGUUAUUAGGGAAGAACAUAUGUGUAAGUAACUGUGCACAUCCUGACGGUACCUAAUCAGAAAGCCACGGCUAACUACGUG